CACACACAGACACACAGCUGCGUUCCGCGGCAGCUAAGCGGCCGGUCUACAGGCCGGUACGGUAGCGUUACGUAUCAUAUAAAAAUAACAAAAAAAAAAAAAAAACUUUUGACCAGCGGCCGUCAAAGUUCUUUGAUGGCUGCAAUGCACGUUGGAAUGGAGCGGUUGUCGAGAGUUAGCAGCCGUGGGACAGAGUACUUGGGCUUCAUGCCGGUCGCCGAAGGUGUUAGCCCGGAGCUAGCCGUUAGCCCGGAGCUAGCCGUUAGCCCGGAGCUAGCCGUUAGCCAAACACGGAGACGGGAAGACUCGUCCGGCACAGGGGAGAAGACGGUCCGUAUUGUGGCAGUGGGCGAGGCACGGAGGACGGGCGGGAGGCAGCCGACAGCCAGCUACCAACGGCAGAGGUAUCGGCUCGAGGCAAAAACCGGACCGGGACGGCUCGAUGGCUGCCCCGGGAGAAAAGUUAAAAACCUUUUGUUGCAGCGCUGGGACGAUGGAGAAAUCCGGGUGUUCGCCGCUGACAGCGGGAGGCGGCCAACAAUCCGCUGAUGUUGGAGGAGAUGUCGGGAGGAGUACGACGAGCUGCUGCAGACCUGCAAGGAGAAGCUGCAUGACUUGGGGCGUCCCUCUGUACGACUUUCCCUUCAGGCCUUCGGAGCAGACCCUGGGGGGACGCGACUCCCUGGGGGGACGCGACUCCCUGGGACCUGCCUCAAAAGAGCGAACCCGUCCGGGUGGCGUCCACUCGCCUCCAAGCUCCACCUGACCUCUCCAUCACUUGAUCACAUGACGUAAUGAAUGAUAAACCUUUAGGUGUUAAUAUGUAUUUUUACUUAUUUUAUUUGUUUACUCGCCCUGUUUCAUGUAAUGUGUCAGUCUGAUCGCAGGAAUUCAAAAAUUAUCGAUAAAGGAACCCAAAAACAUAUUAUUUUUAUAAAUCCAAGGUUUUGUAUAUAAAUAUUAAAUCUCUGAAGUUGUGA